rnacentral:rRNA from 1 species
AUGACCUCCUCCGCCUUCUAUGCUAGUCACCACCACUCGCUCCCGCGCGAGAUGCAGGAGAGCGCACACGAGGCAGCCGCAGCUCGGCCUCUCCAUCUUCUCCGGCCGCUGCAAACCAUGGUGGAAGGUGGGCGGACGAGCUCCUCUUCAUCUUCUCCGCCCGCUGCGGGGAGAGAAGGGAACGGGCAGCUCGAGAUGGAGCAACGCCGGUUGCCUCCGGGUGCGGCGGCUCUGGCGAGAUGGGAAGAGUGGAGGGAGGCGGCAGCUGCGCUGGGAGUAGAGAGCGCCGAGCGGGGAAGUAGGGACGCGGGGGACCGCUCUGACCCGGCCGCCUUCCAUGGCGUCGCCGCCGAGGCGCGCGGAUGGAGGAGGAGAAGAGGACGCGGCGCGCGGAUGGAGGAGGAGGCGAGGAGGCGGCUAGGGUUCGUGGGGAAGACGCAGUCUGCGCGGUCUUGCUCCUGCCGGCGCUGCCUGCCUUUUUGGCCCGCUGAAAAGACUAAAAUGUCCUUGGCCCGUUGA